rnacentral:rRNA from 1 species
GACGAACGCUGGCGGCGUGCUUAACACAUGCAAGUCGAACGGAAAGGCCUUUUCGGAGGUACUCGAGUGGCGAACGGGUGAGUAACACGUGGGUGAUCUGCCCUGCACUCUGGGAUAAGCCUGGGAAACUGGGUCUAAUACCGGAUAGGACCGCACUUUAGUGUGUGUGGUGGAAAGUUUUUUAGGUGUAGGAUGAGCCCGCGGCCUAUCAGCUUGUUGGUGGGGUAAUGGCCUACCAAGGCGGCGACGGGUAGCCGGACUGAGAGGUUGGUCGGCCACAUUGGGACUGAGAUACGGCCCAGACUCCUACGGGAGGCAGCAGUGGGGAAUAUUGCACAAUGGGCGCAAGCCUGAUGCAGCGACGCCGCGUGGGGGAGGACGGCCUUCGGGUUGUAAACGCCUUUCGCCAGGGACGAAGCGUUUUGUGACGGUACCUGGAGAAGAAGCACCGGCUAACUACGUG